ensembl:misc_RNA 7SK 7SK RNA
UGAUGUAAGAGCAGUCUGGCUGCAACAUCUGUCACCCCGCUGAUUGCCAGUGGCCAUUCGGCUGGUCUGGUUGGUUGCACAGGUGUCCCCUCCCUCCCUCACUGCUCCAUAUGUGUCCCUCCUGAAGCUGCAGACGCAGUCCAACAGGAGGACCAUUUCCUUGAUCAAGGAUAUGAGCAGCUGCACUCCUCUGCUAGAACCUCCAAAAUCACACUGACAUUUUUUUGAAAUAGAAAAAAAAACCCUAAAAUUCUUAAGGAAUCUCAAAGGAUUUUGAAUAGCCCAAAAAUCUU